rnacentral:rRNA from 1 species
GUAGGUGGCAAACGUUGUCCGGGAUUCACUGGGGCGUAAAGCGCGCGCAGGCGGGCUGAUCAGUCUGGGGGGUGAAAUCUCUCGGGCUUAACCGAGAGAGGCCCUCAGAUACUGUCAGCCCUUGAGGUGCCUAGAGGAGAGUGGAAUUCAGGGUGUAGUGGUGGAAUGCGUAGAUAUCCUGAGGAACACCAGUGGCGAAGGCGACUCUCUGGGGGCAUUCUGACGCUGAGGCGCGAAAGCGUGGGGAGCGAACCGGAUUAGAUACCCGGGUAGUCCACGCCGUAAACGAUGAGUACUAGUUGUUCGUGGUAUCGACGCCUCGAGUAACGAAGCUAACGCGUUAAGUACUCCGCCUGGGGACUACGACCGCAAGGUUA